AAACGACACAAACUCCAUGUGGUGAUGGAUGCAACUGAGCCCAGCCUCCUGUAGGGUUUGCGUCUGCCAUCGGGAUGAGAACCGGCGGCCAUGGCGGCUUGCGGGGCAAAGGAAGGAUUGGAAGACAAUCAAUCUGGAGGGUGUGUGGGACUUUAUGCAGAGGGGCGUCCACAUGCUCAUCAACAUUCUCGAUGGCCAGAGCCCGAGCACAACUUUGAGUACUACAUGAUGCAUCUGAAGAUUCUGAACAUGUUAGUGAUGGCUGGCUUUCCUACAUUUGUCGAUUUUAAAUUCAGUUAAACAAGAUAGUAUGUAUUUCAAAGACGUGUGCUUGCAUGGGUUUGAUACUUCCCUUUAUAACCGAUUGCAUAGGAAAACAAGAUCAGAGCAUAAUUCUACUUGGCAUUGGUGGCUGGGGUCAACAGGUUCAGUGAUUGUUCUUAUACUUUUGGUA